rnacentral:misc_RNA from 1 species
GAAAUGCGAUAAGUAAUGUGAAUUGCAGAAUUCAGUGAAUCAUCGAAUCUUUGAACGCACAUUGCGCCCCUUGGUAUUCCGGGGGGCAUGCUUGUUCGAGCGUCAUUAUAACCCCUCCAGCCUAGCUGGGUGUUGGACCGCGCCUCCGGGCGGGUCUUAAAGCUAGUGGCGGUGCUCUCAGGCUCUACGCGUAGUAAUCUUUCUCGCUACGGAGUCCUGGGGGAUGCUAGCCAGCAACCUCAACUUCUCAAGGUUGACCUCGAAUCAAGUAGGGAUACCCGCUGAACUUAA